UCAAACUUGAGAGUUUGAUCCUGGCUCAGAACGAACGCUGGCGGCAUGCCUAACACAUGCAAGUCGAACGAACUCUUCGGAGUUAGUGGCGCACGGGUGCGUAACGCGUGGGAAUCUGCCCUUGGGUACGGAAUAACUCAGAGAAAUUUGUGCUAAUACCGUAUAAUGACUUCGGUCCAAAGAUUUAUCGCCCAAGGAUGAGCCCGCGUAAGAUUAGCUAGUUGGUGGGGUAAAAGCCUACCAAGGCGACGAUCUUUAGCUGGUCUGAGAGGAUGAUCAGCCACACUGGGACUGAGACACGGCCCAGACUCCUACGGGAGGCAGCAGUGGGGAAUAUUGGACAAUGGG
rnacentral:rRNA from 1 species